rnacentral:rRNA from 1 species
UACAGGGGGGGCAAGCGUUGUUCGGAAUUACUGGGCGUAAAGGGUUCGUAGGUGGCCACUUAAGUCAGACGUGAAAUCCCCCGGCUUAACCUGGGAACUGCGUCUGAUACUGGAUGGCUAGAGUUUGGGAGAGGGAUGCGGAAUUCCAGGUGUAGCGGUGAAAUGCGUAGAUAUCUGGAGGAACACCGGUGGCGAAGGCGGCAUCCUGGACCAACACUGACGCUGAGGAGCGAAAGCCAGGGGAGCAAACGGG